GCACUCCCUGUUGCGAGGAGUUUGGAUCUGGUCGAUGAUACAUUUCUAGCAGGCGUCUGUGCUUUUGUUGAGGCUGGACACGGGCUGUUGGUGGAAAUUUGGAUGUUUUUGACGAAGCACUGGUGGCAUGUGGGCUAUCUUUAUGCUGAGGCUGGAGACGAUCUCUAGGCUUGGGGGGUGAAAUGAUGUGGAUGUUCCAUUGCAAAGUGUCACGGGCUUGGUGUUUGCUACCAACGAACCGUGCGGCACUAGCUACUUUCUCGCGGAAACAAGUCAGCUAGUCAGCCUACUCCUCCUUAUGCUAGGCAAAAUGCUAG
rnacentral:lncRNA from 1 species